rnacentral:rRNA from 1 species
AAAUGGUGCAGGCUAAUACCCUGUAUGGAUGACGGGACCGGAAUAAGAAGCACCGGCUAACUACGUGCCAGCAGCCGCGGUAAUACGUAGGGUGCGAGCGUUUAUUCGAAUUACUGGGCGUAAAGCGUGCGCAGGCGGUUUUGUAAGACAGGCGUGAAAUCCCCGGGCUCAACCUGGGAACUGCGCUUGUGACUGCAAGACUAGAGUACGGCAGAGGGGGGUGGAAUUCCACGUGUAGCAGUGAAAUGCGUAAAGAUGUGGAGG